ACCACUGUUCUUUCUCGUCGAUUAUAUUAUAAUAUUUGACUAAGCUUUCUUUUGUUCUGUGUUCUUGAAAAGCGAGCUGAGCAGAGCCGUUGGAUCAUGGAAACGGAGAUCGAUGAGCGAAGAGAUAGAUAAAUAGAGGGAAGAGAGAGAUUGGUAGGCUAGCUCUCUGAGCUCUUAAGGGUUUUGUUCUUUCAGGUUCUCAAAAAAGACAGCAUGCGAUCUAUCAAUCUCCUUCAAUGUUUUAACACA